rnacentral:rRNA from 1 species
UACGUAGGGUGCAAGCGUUAAUCGGAUUUACUGGGCGUAAAGGGCGCGUAGGCGGUUAUAUGAGUGUGAUGUGAAAGCCCCGGGCUUAACCUGGGAAGAGCAUUGCAAACGAUAUGACUGGAGUAGUUGAGAGGGUGAUGGAAUUUCCGGUGUAGCGGUGAAAUGCGUAGAGAUCGGAAGGAACGUCAAUGGCGAAGGCAGUCACCUGGCAACAUACUGACGCUGAGGCGCGAGAGCGUGGGUAGCGAACAGG